rnacentral:rRNA from 1 species
CCUACGGGUGGCAGCAGUGAGGAAUAUUGGUCAAUGGGCUUACGCCUGAACCAGCCAAGUCGCGUGAGGGAAGACUGCCCUAUGGGUUGUAAACCUCUUUUGUCAGGGAGCAACGCCGGCUACGUGUAGCCGGACUGAGAGUACCUGAAGAAAAAGCAUCGGCUAACUCCGUGCCAGCAGCAGCGGUAAUACGGAGGAUGCGAGGGUUAUCCGGUUUUCUGGGGUUUAAAGGGUGCGUAGGCGGAAUGCCAAGUCAGCGGGAAAAUCGCGGGGCUAAACCCCGGUCCGCCGUUGAAACUGUGUCCCUUGAGUGUGCGAAGGGUAGGCGGAAUGCGUGGUGUAGCGGUGAAAUGCGUAGAUAUCACGCAGAACUCCGAUCGCGAAGGCAGCCUACCGGAGCGUAACUGACGCUCAUGCACGAAAGCGUGGGUAUCGAACAGGAUUAGAUACCCCUGUAGUC